rnacentral:rRNA from 1 species
UACGUAGGGUGCGAGCGUUAAUCGGAAUUACUGGGCGUAAAGUGUGCGCAGGCGGCCGCGCAAGUCGAGUGUGAAAGCCCCGGGCUUAACUUGGGAAUUGCGCUCGAAACUACGUGGCUGGAGUGUGGCAGAGGAAGAUGGAAUUCCAGGUGUAGCGGUGAAAUGCGUAGAGAUCUGGAGGAACACCGAUGGCGAAGGCAGCCUUCUGGGCCAACACUGACGCUCAUGCACGAAAGCGUGGGGAGCAAACAGG